rnacentral:rRNA from 1 species
AAAACUUUCAACAACGGAUCUCUUGGUUCUGGCAUCGAUGAAGAACGCAGCGAAAUGCGAUAAGUAAUGCGAAUUGCAGAAUUCUAGUGAGUCAUCGAAUCUUUGAACGCACAUUGCGCCCUUUGGUAUUCCGAAGGGCAUGCCUGUUCGAGCGUCAUUAUCAACCCUCAAGCCCCGGGCUUGGUGUUGGGACGGCCGGUCUCCGCCCGCGGAGGCCCCCCCCAAAGUGAAUGACGGCGGCCUGUUAACCCCCGGUACAUGGAGCUUGGUCACGAGCACGUAUCGGUCUUUAAGUGGUGAAUAGGCCCUCGGUCUCCUCCCCCUAGGGGAACUCUCUUCAAGGUUGACCUCGGAUCAGGUAGGGAUACCCGCUGAACUUAAGCAUAUCAAUAAGCGGAGGAAAAGAAACCAACAGGGAUUGCCUCAGUAACGGCGAGUGAAGCGGCAACAGCUCAAAUUUGAAAUCUGGCCCCCUCGGGGUCCGAGUUGUAAUUUGCAGAGGAUGUUUCGGGUACCGCUCCGGUUUAAAUUUCUUGGAACAGAAUGUCAGAGAGGGUGAGAAUCCCGUCUUGGACCGGUGGUAGGGCCCGUGUGAAACUCCUUCGACGAGUCGAGUUGUUUGGGAAUGCAGCUCAAAAUGGGUGGUAAAUUUCAUCUAAAGCUAAAUAUUGGCCAGAGACCGAUAGCGCACAAGUAGAGUGAUCGAAAGAUGAAAAGCACUUUGAAAAGAGAGUUAAACAGUAUGUGAAAUUGUUGAAAGGGAAGCGCUUGCAACCAGACUUGUGCGCGGCGGUUCCCCCUUCCUUUUGGUUGGGUUACUCCGCCGCGUCCAGGCCAACAUCGGUUCUGGGGGUCGGUCAAAGGCCUUGGGAAUGUACCUACCCUUCGGGCGUAGACUUAUAGCCCUCGGUGUCAUGCGGCCUCCCGGGACCGAGGAACGCGCUUCGGCUCGGAUGUUGGCGUAAUGGUUGUCAGCGACCCGUCUUGAAACACGGACCAAGGAGUCUAACAUCUAUGCGAGUGUUUGGGUGUCAAACCCGGAACGCGGAAUGAAAGUGAACGGAGGUAGGAAGCUUCGGCUGCACUAUCGACCGAUCCUGAUGUCUUCGGAUGGAUUUGAGUAAGAGCAUAAAUGUUGGGACCCGAAAGAUGGUGAACUAUGCCUGAAUAGGGUGAAGCCAGAGGAAACUCUGGUGGAGGCUCGCAGCGGUUCUGACGUGCAAAUCGAUCGUCAAAUUUAGGUAUAGG